CCUCCGUAGGGGAACCUGCGGAGGGAUCAUUACUGAGUUUACGCUCUACAACCCUUUGUGAACAUACCUAUAACUGUUGCUUCGGCGGGUAGGGUCUCCGCGACCCUCCCGGCCUCCCGCCUCCGGGCGGGUCGGCGCCCGCCGGAGGAUAACCAAACUCUGAUUUAACGACGUUUCUUCUGAGUGGUACAAGCAAAUAAUCAAAACUUUUAACAACGGAUCUCUUGGUUCUGGCAUCGAUGAAGAACGCAGCGAAAUGCGAUAAGUAAUGUGAAUUGCAGAAUUCAGUGAAUCAUCGAAUCUUUGAACGCACAUUGCGCCCGCCAGCAUUCUGGCGGGCAUGCCUGUUCGAGCGUCAUUUCAACCCUCAAGCUCUGCUUGGUGUUGGGGCCCUACAGCUGAUGUAGGCCCUCAAAGGUAGUGGCGGACCCUCCCGGAGCCUCCUUUGCGUAGUAACUUUACGUCUCGCACUGGGAUCCGGAGGGACUCUUGCCGUAAAACCCCCAAUUUUCCAAAGGUUGACCUCGGAUCAGGUAGGAAUACCCGCUGAA
rnacentral:rRNA from 1 species